rnacentral:rRNA from 1 species
CUGAAUGGAUGGCGCUCUAGCGUCGUGCCUAUACCGGGCCGUCAACGGCAAAGUGGGCUAGUGCCCGGCCGGUCCUCGCGGCCGGCCGGCUUGGCCGUUAAGCCUUGACGAGUAGGAGGCGCGCGGCGGUGUGCGCAGAAGGGUCUGGGCGCGAGCCUGCCUGGAGCCGCCGUCGGUGCAGAUCUUGGUGGUAGUAGCAAAUACUCUAGCGAGGGCCUGGAGGGCUGAAGUGGAGAAGGGUUUCUUGUGAACAGCCGUUGCACAAGAGUCAGUCGACCCUAAGCCCUAGGAGAAAUCCGAUGUUGAUGGGCAGCUAUCAUGCGGCCGUUUAACUACGGCCAAACGACUGCUCCCGUCGGGCGAAAGGGAAUCCGGUUCCUAUUCCGGAACCCGGCUGCGGAACCGUAACUUCGCGGGCACUCGCCUGCGAGCGCUCGUCGGGGUAACCCAAAAUGACCCGGAGACGCCGGCGGGAGGUCUGGAAAGAGUUGUCUUUUCUAUAUAAGCGUUCGAGUUCCCUGGAAUCCUAUAGCAGGGAGAUAGGGUUUGGAACGCGAAGAGCACCGCAGUUGCGGCGGUGUCCGGACUUUCCCCCCGGACCUUGAAAAUCCAGGUAAGGGCUACGCGGAUUGUCGCGCCGGCUCGUACCCAUAUCCGCAGCAGGUCUCCAA